UACGAGUGCCUCAAGCGUUAUCCGGAAUCAUUGGGCGUAAAGGAUGUGUAGGUGGCAGUGUUAGUCUUUUGUUAAAUUCUUCGGCUUAACCGGGGGCAUGCAAAAGAAACGGCACAGCUAGAGGAUGCGAGGGGUCUGUGGAACUCAUAGUGUAGCGGUGAAAUGCGUUGAUAUUAUGGGGAACACCAAAAGCGAAGGCAGCAGACUGGAGCACUCCUGACACUGAAACAUGAAAGCGUGGGUCGCGAAUGGG
rnacentral:rRNA from 1 species